UUUGUUAAUUUGGUGAUUUAUUAAAUGUGUAACUGUUAUUCUGAUCUGCUGCUGAGUCUCUUACGCUGAUGAAAAUGCAGAAAACACAGAUCACACCUGUUCAACCAAUCACUUUCAUUCCACUUUGAUCUGGACAAACUGACGGUUCAUCUCUGUUACAGUGUUGCUAUAUGUUUGUGUUCUUUAUGCUGUAGAUUUUCACGUCUCUGGAAUAGUUGGCAAUUAGUCAGCUGGGAAACUCUGUGUUAACUCAUGGAGCUGAGGAUAUCGUGGAUAUGCUGACCUCGCUCCGUGGUGUACAGGGCCGUUUACCCUCAUGAUUAAUAUUCACAAUAAAAAUAUUAGCCGAACAUCAUGAAGUCUGUAUGUGUUUCAUAGUGUCGAACAACCUUUGUACAGUUAAAGCCAGCAGUUACUACAUGACAGAAACACCAACGUUAUCUCUUUUAUGCGUUUAUACACAGGUCACGCUGAUUACUGAACAAAAACCCAAAGAUCAGAUGUUAAACAGAUUUAUUUGCUCUCUCUCCUCCUUAAACAUGUUUUUAAUGUUAGUUAUAAUUCAGAAUUAUACUGAAACACGUAGGACACAUAAGAACAUCAGGAAAUAAAACACCGAUAAAUAUAACCUCAGUAAAAGAAGUCAGCGGGGGUUACUACAGCUGUGUACCGGGGCCUGCGCUUUGUCGGUGGGAUUGCUUGCGAGGCGAGCGGGUCUAUCCCACGCUUUGCCGUGAGACUGGGCAGACAUCUCCGAAAUCAUCGAAGCACUUUUGCAAAGAGGCUGUAUCUUGACAAACCGACCAGACACAUGAA